CCUACGGGUGGCAGCAGUGAGGAAUAUUGGUCAAUGGACGAGAGUCUGAACCAGCCAAGUAGCGUGAAGGAUGACUGCCCUAUGGGUUGUAAACUUCUUUUAUAUGGGAAUAAAAUGUUCCACGUGUGGGAUUUUGUAUGUACCAUAUGAAUACGGAUCGGCUAACUCCGUGCCAGCAGCCGCGGUAAUACGGAGGAUCCGAGCGUUAUCCGGAUUUAUUGGGUGUAAAGGGAGCGUAGGUGGAUUGUUAAGUCAGUUGUGAAAGUUUGCGGCUCAACCGUAAAAUUGCAGUUGAAACUGGCAGUCUUGAGUACAGUAGAGGUGGGCGGAAUUCGGGGUGUAGCGGUGAAAUGCUUAGAUAUAACGAAGAACUCCGAUUGCGAAGGCAGUUCACUGGACUGCAACUGACACUGAGGCUCGAAAGUGUGGGUAUCAAACAGGAUUAGAUACCCGGGUAGUC
rnacentral:rRNA from 1 species